AUGAAUGAUGAGAUCAUUAAGAUAAAGUGCAUUUUCAAUUGAAGCCUUUUUCCUUUUUUUCCUUUAACAGCAUUUUCUCUGUGGAUUUCUUUCCCAUUCUGCCGUUCUGCAGAUAGCAACAGCAGAGAUCCAAGAGGCGAGGUACACUACAGUAGUUGCUGUCCGAGACUAGCAGACCCAAGUGCUGGUGGAGUAUUUGAAGAACAUGGCAUGCCAGCAGAGACAGCGGGAAAUACAGAAAGCACAGAAAUAAAAAGAUGACAACUGCUAAACCAUCUCUGGAAGUGACUACUAAAAUACAGGGGUCUUCAGAACAGAAAAAAGGGAGAAGUUUAAUUCUGAUUUCUACAGCAGCAAGAGAAAGGGGGGAACUACUUGCCUCUCCCAACAAGCAGCAACUCAACCAUCAGGAAAUACUGCUUCACCCAGACUGACUUUUCCACUGCUCACAUGGUGUGCAAAGUGCUACAAAUCAAGCCUGGGGAAAUCAAACAUCAUCUGUUUCUCUUGACAGGUAAAUUGAUUUUUAUGAAUUUUGUCUGGGCGGAAAUGUAUUUGAAUUUGAAUAAUCUGCAUAUGAAUCAGUACAGGCUUUUAAUGCAGAACAACACAACCUACUGCUGUUUACUUUUUACUGAUGCAUGUUUUAUGCAUUAUAGUACUGAGAAAAAUGUCUGUAGAUUUCUGAAUUAACAUCAGUGAUAGAUGAGCGAUUAUUAUUAUUAAUUAACAGACGCCCUUAUCCAGGGCGACUCAUAAUUGUUACAAGAUGUACAUUAUUCUUUUCAUACAAUUACCCAUUUAUGCAAUCUAGGUAAAGUACCUUGCUCAAGGGUACAGCAGCAGUAUCCCCCCACCUGGGAUUGAACCCACAGCCCACCGGUCAAGAGUCCAGAGCCCUAACCACUACUCCACACUGCUGCCCUGCGAUUGUAGGCCUGUAACUUAAACAUACCUAUAUGUAUGUCACAUUAGCACCACAAGUCGUUCUUAUACAUACAGACAUUAAUAGAUUCUGGGCCGUAAUAUCUAUGUGAGCAGUGUCCUAGUAGAUUAGGCCAAAAUAAUAAAAAUAUUAUUGUGAUCACUAGUAGUAACAGUGAGCUGUUAAACUGUUUGAAAAAAUAAAAAGUGUGAUUUCUAAUGCUUAAAGUUAUUUUCUACUGGUAGCUUAUUAAUUACAGGCAAUUUGGGAAGUCUGUGGAUGGUUAUCCAGUUUGGUGGUGUUGAUAACGCUUUUAGCCUCCAUUAGGUUGUCUGACAAGGUUACAAAGAGCCUGUGCCCCAGCCAUACACCUCCACAGGCCUGCUAAUACCAGCCACCUCAAGUAAGGCACCUUCACAAGACCUUGGCAAGACAUAAAGUGUGCAGCCGCGGUGGCGCAAUCUCCAAUCUUAUGUUAGAGAAAGCAAUUUGCUUAAUAGAGGAAUAUGAGAUUCAAGUGACCGUCAGCUGGUUGGAGUGUGCUUCAUCAAUACAGUCACAAGGGUUCAGGUAUGCAGGACUGGAAUCACACCCAGUAUGGAUGUUCCCUGGCUGUAUGGUAAUUAUAUCACUCAAUAGGCACUUGCAUUCCU